AGGAUUGCCAUCGAAACAAGCCCUAUUUGCUCGCCUCUACGAGCUUCUGCAACACUAGAGGUGACUAUACAAAUCCUCAUAGAAGUAGUGGAAAGAUUUGGACCUUACUCCACUAGUUCUAAUGGACAUGGAUCAGUCUGAACCCAAGUACGAGCAUUGUAAACAGAGGGAUGUUUUAGAUGACUCUUCUAGAAGACAACAUUGGGAUGGAGGGGCAUAUGAUGAAAAUGGCACUGAAAAAUCGAGCAAUUUCAGAGGAGAUAAGGAAUAAGGAUAGGAAGAAAAGCAGCCAUGGAUAAGACAGGGACAGGCAUCAUAGAAACAAGGACAGAGAAGCCUCUAAGAAAACUAGUGGAGAUAUUGCCAAAGAUUUGGAUAACGAGCAAGAUGACUAUGUGGAUAAGGAGGGUGGCAAGGAUAGGAGUAGGGAUAACAGGGCAAAGGAUAAAGACCAUGAUCAGGGAAAAUCUAGAGAUAAGGAGCGUGAGCAUGACAAAGAUAGGAAAAAUCGAG
rnacentral:misc_RNA from 1 species